rnacentral:lncRNA from 1 species
AUUGGUGCACCGCUCUCCAAACAAAUAAUGUCUCCGGAUUUUGAGAGCAAACACCACUGCCCCCAAUUCCAGGUCAUGAGUGGUGUGACAACUCGAAUUUUUUUAUUUUAUAAGCUCAGUCAUUCAACUCAAAUGAGUGUCAAAAUCAUUAGUACAAAGUUCUGGCAUGGUUACAAGUCAUUCUAAGGAGUUUUGAUCCUAAAACACUUAAGGAUUAAGUGUUAGAAAGUACCUGCUAGAACCACAGUGUAGUAAAUCGGACCCUAACCCCAUCUAAAUGAGUUCACGGCCACAAGACCAUGAGUUUACGGCCGUAAACUCAUGUGGCCGUAAACUCAAGUGUAUAUAUAGAGCAUUGGAUUAUUUCCUCUCAUUUCUUCCUUUCUUGGCCGGAUUUUCUCCCAAAUCCUCUCAACUAUCAUCCAACCUCCUUCCUUAGAUCUUCAAAAGAGUGAGUAUUCUAUCCCUUGAUUAGUUAAUACAUCUUAUUAACUAGCUUCUUACAAUGAUUUCAUCCAUGAAAAAUCAUGUUUGUUUAGAUACUCAAGAAACACCAAGAACACACACUAGUGUUCUUGGCCAAAUCGACUAGUUCAAGCUCCUAUAUCGUAAGCACUCUUAUUCCAACUUGUUUUACACUAGAUUAAACAUGUCUAGACCUUAGAAACAUCAAGAAACAAAGGUUAGAAGAGAUUUUACGACCAAGGAUGUUCUUGGGCCGUAAACUCCCUUUUAGGGUGCAAAGAUGCCCCAAAUUCCUUCCUUAAGCCUAGAGACUAGCCUACCUCUUUACCUUGAUGUGUUUAGUACUCAAAAAAUCAAAAUACCAUCACCCAUAGGUGAUUACGNCACAUGUCAAAGUGGUCCAUGGGCCGAAAACUCAAUUUAAGGGUGUAUUGGUGCCACAAACACUUCCUAAGGCUUAGACUCGAAGUUAGGAUGCUUCACUAUGACUUUUAGGACCCUAAACAACUCUCAUAAACAUAAAUGGUCAUGAGUUUACGGUUGUAAACUCAUUAGGGACGUGAACACCCCAAAAGCUUCAAAGAAAGUGGUCUUCCUCAUCCUAGGGUAGAGCUAAGGUCCCCAAAACAUCUAUAGCCUUCAAGCUUGCAUUUAUACAUGAGUAACCACGAGUUUACGACCGUAAAAUCCCUUGGGACGUAAAACCAUGGUAGUAAACUCAUGUGAGUGCCAUUCUACCUUCCUUUGUUGAAUCACAUGUGAUUCCAACACUUGGUCAAGGUCUUUCCUAGUCCCGUAAGGUGUUUCCUUUCAUAUAGUUGUUAUAGACACUAUAUUCAUGCCAAUAUGUGUCAUUAUAUAUCAUUUAGGACUUAUUGUGUCUCGGGACUUCAUUCGAGGAACUUCUCAUUCGUACGCGCAUACCCGUUUGAAUCACCCACAUCAGGUGAGUUCAUACCCCGUAAUGAAUCUUUUAACUAUUUGAACUGUUUUAAGGGGGGGGGGGAAUACAAGUUGAACACAAUGAUAAUUAUGUAAAUGUUUGUUAUAAACAUCUUUCAAAAUGUUACUUAUGUUAUUUAUAAGUUGUCAAAACAUUUCAAAACUCUUUUAAAGGUUAUGUUACUUUAUAGUUAUACAAAACUCCAUUUUUAAAGUACAAGCAUAACUUAGUAGAGAAACGAGUCUUUUCAGUAACAGUCCAAGUAGAGAAUUAGUAAACUAUUAUAGGUAUAGUUUAGGAGAAUGUUAUUCAUUACUUCUAGUACAAUGAAGCACACAAAGAGUCAGUCCAUUUCAUGAGUCUAUACUAACGCAAUACGUUUACAUAGAUACGAUAUCAAUAUACGAUAACAGAACAAAACAUAGUAAGGUGCUAUAGCAUGGAACAUUUUCAGGAUCUAACUAUACCCAUGAAUCACAACGCAUUGUGAUAGUUAUAUUGGGUAUACAUGAUCAUAGUAAUGUGGAUGUUCGCGGCUUGCACUCAUGCAGGGGUCGCGUGUAGUUCCUAGAAUCUCUUGACAAGGGAGCGUUUAGCAUAGGAUCUAGCCAUCACAUUAUGCCUUAACCCUCAAUUAAGGCAAAAUAGUACUUAAAGUAGUCACUUAUUACAAAUAGUACAGUACUUACACUGUCAAUACGACAAUUAUAGAAGGAUAUAAAAUUCUAGUGUCAAUGUUAUUAAUAGUCGUACGGUCGGGUCUUGGUAGAAGGCUACUUUCAAAACAGUCGAGUCUUGGUAGAAGGCUACUUUUAAAAGUUAGGACCAUAAUGCUAAUCUUAUGAUUCCUUAAUGUAUACACUAUAUGAUACAUAUAUACUAAUAGAUUCCGACAGCUAAUAGGAUGUGUGCUCUUCGCUUCAUUUCCUGUUCUCGUUGGAUUGUGGGCUUGGAACGAGUUCACCCAAUCUACUAUCUACACGAAUCUAUAUAUAAUUAUGCUUAGUAUACAUUAAGUCAUCAUAAGGGUACCAGGUAUGGAUCAGGUUAUAGGAAACAUAGUCAAAGCACAACUUUUCUAGUACAAAACAUACUUUUCAAAGUCAUUACUUUUGGGUAUACAAAACUAGAAACUUCCCAGAUAAGGGCUUAAUCCAUUUUAUUAAGCCAGUAUACACUUAAAGACUUUAGGUGAAUAACUCUAUAACACCUUAGUUUAUACACCAUGUUUAUAUAUAAAACUAAUACCCAAUAGAUAGUUAAAUGUGUGUUUUCCGCCUUACUUCCUGUCCUCGUUGGGUUGUGGACUUAGGGCAGAUUCACCCAAUUAACUUUCUACCCGAUAUCAGAUUAUAUAUAGCAGUAUAAACAAAGCUAUUAUAAAAGUAGUCACUGUAGUCAAUAUUUUACUAUAAGAAAUAUAGGUUUUCUUAAAAGAACUUUUCGUUAGACAUAAAGGAACCAUUACAAAUAAUUCCAUGAGUAAAAAUUGAUUACACCAGGGUUAUAUAUGACAACGAUCUAAUAACCAAUGAAAUGUGUGCUAUCCUCCUUACUUUUUGUUCCCCGUUGGGUUGUGAGCUUAGGGAAGAUGCGCACAAUCGAUUGUUUAUUUACUCUGAGUAUAUAUAACUUGUACCCACUUAGUACGCAUAGAAAGGCUUGUAGUGUCAUUUUACAUAACUUUCAUUCAAGUAGGAAAUAUAGGAUUUUCUAGAGGAACAGGCGAACUUUUCAAAACAGAACUUACAGCUUACAUCACUUGUGUGUACAUUGUCAACCAAUUUUUACAGCUUACUCACAUCACUAAAAUCUUAUGAACUCACCAGCUUAAUUGCUGAUCAACUCUUUCAAAUAACUUGUAUUCUCAGGAGACUAUUAGACAGGUGCUCGUGCUGGGACUUCAGAAGAUGGAGCAUUAUAGCUUCAAGUCUUGUUUUGUUAUUUGUUUAUGACUUCUAUGUUUUGUGAACACACACAUUGUAAAUACUUUCUUUCUAAAUGAAAUGGUUGUUCAUUACUUGCUUACCAUAUACAUAUCUCAUGAUAUUAAACAUGACGUCCUCCACCCCCGAACGUUUCCGUCGUUCCGGUUUUGGGGUGUGACAAGUAGGGUAGUUCUCCUCAUGAGGCUUCAGAUGCCUCGAGGCGUACACGAUCACAUGCCCCCUCUACAUAAAAAAAACGCCCAACUCUAUGAUAGAUGCAUCACAAUACACCACCAGAUCAUUCAAUCCAUUGGGUAGUGCCAAAAUCGGGGCCUCACAUAACCUCUGCAUCAAGGCCUCGAAAGCCAACUGCUGUUCCGGGCCCCACCGAAAUGUCAUAUUCUUCUUGGUCAACCGGGUCAAAGGCACCGCAAUCUUGGAGAAGUUAUGUAUGAAUCUCCGAUAGUACCCCGCUAGACCCAAGAAGCUACGAAUCUCAGAUACAUUCCUCGGCACUUCCCACCGCAUCACUGCCUCAAUCUUGGCUGAAUCAACCAAAAUACCUCUUAGCUGAUGAUGUGCCCCAAAAAAUGCACCUCCCGUAACCAGAAAUCACACUUCAAGAACUUGGCAUAAAGCCUUUUCGUCCUUAGUGUCUCCAAUACCUCCCUCAGAUGUUGCUCGUUUUGCUCCUUUGUAUUAGAAUAGACCAAGAUAUCAUCAAUAAAAAUGAUCACCGACCGAUCCAACAUCGGCCUACACACCUUGUUCAUGAGAUCCAUGAACGCUAUUGGGGCAUUGGUGAGCCUGGAUGGCAUCACCACAAACUCGUAGUACCCGUACCGGGUCCUGAAAGCUAUCUUCAGUAUAUCCUCUUCUUGAAUCCUCAUCUGAUGGUAUCCCGACUGAAGAUCAAUCUUGGAAAACCAAGAUGCACUCUGUAGCUGAUCAAACAAAUCAUCGAUCCUCAGGAGCGGAUUUUUCACCGUUAAUUUUUUUAGCUCCCGAUAAUCAANNNNNNNNNNNNNNNNNNNNNNNNNNNNNNNNNNNNNNNNNNNNNNNNNNNNNNNNNNNNNNNNNNNNNNNNNNNNNNNNNNNNNNNNNNNNNNNNNNNNCAAACACCACUGCCCCCAAUUCCAGGUCAUGAGUGGUGUGACAACCCGAAAUUUUUUAUUUUAUAAGCUCAUUCAUUCAACUCAAAUGAGUGUCAAAAUCAUUAGUACAAAGUUCUGGCAUGGUUACAGGUCAUUCUAAGGAGUUUUGAGUCUAAAACACUUAAGGAUUAAGUGUUAGAAAGUACCCGCUAGAACCACAGUGUAGUAAAUCGGACCCUAACCCCAUCUAAAUGAGUUCACGGCCACAAGACCAUGAGUUUACGGCCGUAAACUCAUGUGGCCGUAAACUCAAGUAUAUAUAUAGAGCGUUGGGUCAUUUCCUCUCAUUUCUUCCUUUCUUGGCCGGAUUUUCUCCCAAAUCCUCUCAACUAUCAUCCAACCUCCUUCCUUAGAUCUUCAAAAGAGUGAGUAUUCUAUCC